AGUGAACGCUGGCGGUAGGCCUAACACAUGCAAGUCGAACGGCAGCACAGUAAGAGCUUGCUCUUACGGGUGGCGAGUGGCGGACGGGUGAGGAAUACAUCGGAAUCUACUUUUUCGUGGGGGAUAACGUAGGGAAACUUACGCUAAUACCGCAUACGACCUACGGGUGAAAGCAGGGGAUCUUCGGACCUUGCGCGAUUGAAUGAGCCGAUGUCGGAUUAGCUAGUUGGCGGGGUAAAGGCCCACCAAGGCGACGAUCCGUAGCUGGUCUGAGAGGAUGAUCAGCCACACGGGAACUGAGACACGGUCCAGACUCCUACGGGAGGCAGCAGUGGGGAAUAUUGGACAAUGGUCGCAAGCCUUAUCCAGCCAUACCGCGUGGGUGAAGAAGGCCUUCGGGUUGUAAAGCCCUUUUGUUGGGAAAGAAAAGCAGCAGGUUAAUACCCCGCUGUUCUGACGGUACCCAAAGAAUAAGCACCGGCUAACUUCGUG
rnacentral:rRNA from 1 species